rnacentral:rRNA from 2 species
CAAUAAGCGGAGGAAAAGAAACUAACAAGGAUUCCCCUAGUAACUGCGAGUGAAGCGGGAAAAGCUCAAAUUUAAAAUCUGGCAGUCUCUGGCUGUCCGAGUUGUAAUCUAGAGAAGUGUUAUCCGCGCUGGACCGUGUACAAGUCUCCUGGAAUGGAGCGUCAUAGAGGGUGAGAAUCCCGUCUUUGACACGGACUGCCAGGGCUUUGUGAUGCGCUCUCAAAGAGUCGAGUUGUUUGGGAAUGCAGCUCAAAAUGGGUGGUAAAUUCCAUCUAAAGCUAAAUAUUGGCGAGAGACCGAUAGCGAACAAGUACCGUGAGGGAAAGAUGAAAAGAACUUUGGAAAGAGAGUUAAACAGUACGUGAAAUUGCUGAAAGGGAAACGCUUGAAGUCAGUCGCGUUGGCCAGGGAUCAACCUUGCUUUUGCUUGGUGCACUUUCUGGUUGACGGGUCAGCAUCAAUUUUGACCAUUGGAAAAAGGUCAGGGGAAUGUGGCAUCUUCGGAUGUGUUAUAGCCCUUAGCUGCAUACAAUGGUUGGGAUUGAGGAACUCAGCACGCCGCAAGGCCGGGUUUUAACCACGUACGUGCUUAGGAUGCUGGCAUAAUGGCUUUAAUCGACCCGUCUUGAAACACGGACCAAGGAGUCUAACAUGCCUGCGAGUGUUUGGGUGGAAAACCCGAGCGCRCAAUGAAAGUGAAAGUUGAGAUCCCUGUCGUGGGGAGCAUCGACGCCCGGACCAGACCUUUUGUGACGGUCCCGCGGUAGAGCAUGUAUGUUGGGACCCGAAAGAUGGUGAACUAUGCCUGAAUAGGGUGAAGCCAGAGGAAACUCUGGUGGAGGCUCGUAGCGAUUCUGACGUGCAAAUCGAUCGUCAAAUUUGGGUAUAGGGGCGAAAGACUAAUCGAACCAUCUAGUAGCUGGUCU